rnacentral:rRNA from 1 species
UACGUAGGGGGCGAGCGUUGUCCGGAUUUAUUGGGCGUAAAGAGCUCGUAGGCGGUUUGUCGCGUCUGCCGUGAAAGUCCGGGGCUCAACUCCGGAUCUGCGGUGGGUACGGGCAGACUAGAGUGAUGUAGGGGAGACUGGAAUUCCUGGUGUAGCGGUGAAAUGCGCAGAUAUCAGGAGGAACACCGAUGGCGAAGGCAGGUCUCUGGGCAUUAACUGACGCUGAGGAGCGAAAGCGUGGGGAGCGAACAGG